rnacentral:rRNA from 1 species
GACGAACGCUGGCGGCGUGCUUAACACAUGCAAGUCGAACGGAAAGGCCCUGCUUUUGUGGGGUGCUCGAGUGGCGAACGGGUGAGUAACACGUGAGUAACCUGCCCUUGUCUUUGGGAUAACUCCAGGAAACUGGGGCUAAUACCGGAUAGGAGCUCCUGCUGCAUGGGGGGGGUUGGAAAGUUUCGGCGGUUGGGGCUGGAUUCGCGGCUUAUCGGCUAGUUGGUGGGGUAGGGGCUUACCAAGGCUUUGACGGCUAGCCGGCCUGAGAGGGUGACCGGGCACAAGAGUACUGCGAGACGGCGCAGUCGGCAACGUGACGCAGCAGUCGAGAGUAUUGCAGAAUGAGCGGGAGCCUGAGACAACAACGUCGGGUUCGGAAUGACCUGCUUCUAGUGAUGAACCACUUUCGCCGGUGACAAGCCGUUAUUGACGGUAAUGAGUAAGGAAGCACCGGCUAACUACGUG